AUUGAACGCUGGCGGCAGGCCUAACACAUGCAAGUCGAGCGAGCGGCGGACGGGUGAGUAAUGUAUGGGGAUCUGCCAGAUGGAGGGGGAUAACUACUGGAAACGGUAGCUAAUACCGCAUACUAUCAGCUGAACCCAUAUGGGAUUAGCUAGUAGGUGGGGUAAAGGCUCAACUAGGCGACGAUCUCUAGCUGGUCGGAGAGGAUGACCAGCCACACUGGAACUGAGACACGGUCCAGACUCCUACGGGAGUCAGCAGUGGGGAAUAUUGCACAAUGGGCGCAAGCCUGAUGCAGCCAUGCCGCGUGUAUGAAGAAGGCCUUCGGGUUGUAAAGCACUUUCAGCGGGGAGGCGUUACUCGCAGAAGAAGCACCGGCUAACUCCGUGCCAGCAGCCGCGGUAAUUC
rnacentral:rRNA from 1 species